rnacentral:rRNA from 1 species
UACGUAGGUGGCGAGCGUUGUCCGGAUUUACUGGGCGUAAAGAGCGCGCAGGCGGUCGUACAAGUCGCGUGUGAAAGCCCCCGGCUCAACUGGGGAGGGUCACGCGAUACUGUUUCGACUCGAAGGCAGGAGAGGGAAGUGGAAUUCCCGGUGUAGUGGUGAAAUGCGUAGAUAUCGGGAGGAACACCAGUGGCGAAGGCGACUUCCUGGCCUGUUCUUGACGCUGAGGCGCGAAAGCUAGGGUAGCAAACGGGG